rnacentral:tRNA from 1 species
UGUCUCGUAGCUCAGCUGGUUAGAGUAUUACACUGAUAAUGUAGGGGUCGACAGUUCGAGUCUGUCCGAGACAACAA